rnacentral:tRNA from 1 species
GAGGAUAUAGCUCAGUGGUAGAGCACGGGCUUAGCAUGCACGAGGUCCUGGGUUCAAUCCCCAGUACCUCCA